rnacentral:rRNA from 1 species
AGAGCGAACGCUGGCGGCAGGCCUAACACAUGCAAGUCGAGCGCGUGUAGCAAUACACGAGCGGCAGACGGGAGAGUAACACGUGGGAACGCGCCCUUCGGUUCGGAAUAACUCAGGGAAACUUGAGCUAAUACCGGAUACGCCCUUACGGGGAAAGAUUUAUUGCCGAAGGAACGGCCCGCGUCCGAUUAGCUAGUUGGUGAGGUAACGGCUCACCAAGGCGACGAUCGGUAGCUGGUCUGAGAGGAUGACCAGCCUCACUGGGACUGAGACACGGCCCAGACUCCUACGGGAGGCAGCAGUGGGGAAUAUUGGACAAUGGGCGCAAGCCUGAUCCAGCCACGCCGCGUGGAUGAUGAAGGCCUUAGGGUUGUAAAGUCCUUUUAACGGGGAAGAUAAUGACGGUACCCGUAGAAUAAGCCCCGGCUAACUUCGUGCCAGCAGCCGC